ACUACCCCUUUGUCCAAGUGCCUUAUAACAUGUCUUUAUAACUGGCUGUGUAAGAAUGAAGAAAAGCUGUCCAUCUUCUGAGAAGGAAGCAGCAUGUGCCAUCCUUCUGUCAGAAAACACCAAAGAGAUGAAGAAAUGAGAAAUCCAGAAACCAAAGACCUUGCUCUUUUGUCAAACAGACUUGGUAGAGCAGAGUUGCAAAAUCAGACCUUUGGGGGCUUGCGUGUUUCUCCUCUUACUCCCUGGUGUAGAAGCCCUGCCUUGAACUUCAGGCUGCCUGGCUUGGAUCCUGAUGCUGCUUUGCUGACACAAUCCAUUCUCCCAGGGAACACCCAGAGUUCCACUCCAGCCCUGGCAACGCUGCAGCAGAGGCCAACUGUACGGAAAGUCUACAUUGGCUCGGAACAAUUGAGGCUGGGAGAGGACCUCAGGACGAGGACAUGCAGAAAAAGUGCUGAGUGUUCUUUAAAGCAGUAGCAAACCAUGGGUUUGGCUGGUGAUUUCCUGCUUGGUCGUCUUUUAAAACCCAGCCAUCUGAAUCCGAGAGUUGCUUCUUCAGCAAGGCCUCCCCUGACUCCUUCAGAUGUCUAAGCACCACCCCUACUCUUCUGCUGCAGCAUCUCCACUUGCUUUUGUCCUUCAUCUCCCUGAAAUUAUUUGCUUACUCAUCCAUCCAUGUCAGUUGCAAAAGCAUGACUUCCUCUAGUCCAAAGGCCAUUCAUGUUCAAUAUGUUAGCACUCGGAGCGUCUCCAGUGGUUGUUUCAAACAAGGCAAAUGAGUUCAGUUGAACUUUAUAUGUUCUGCCCUCCGACUGUGACUGUUAUUUACUUCCCUCCAAACAAAAUGUAAUAAUAAAAUGACUAACUGAA
rnacentral:lncRNA from 1 species